rnacentral:rRNA from 1 species
GACAGAGGGUGCAAACGUUGUUCGGAAUUACUGGGAGUAAAGCGAGUGUAGGCGGUCCGAUAAGUCGGGUGUGAAAGCCCUGGGCUCAACCCAGGAAGUGCACUCGAAACUGGCGGGCUAGAGUAUCGGAGAGGUUGGUGGAAUUCUCGGUGUAGAGGUGAAAUUCGUAGAUAUCGAGAGGAACACCGGUGGCGAAGGCGGCCAACUGGACGAAUACUGACGCUGAGACUCGAAAGCGUGGGGAGCAAACAGG